rnacentral:lncRNA from 10 species
AAAGAAUUUAAGGUCUGGCACAGUGGCUCACACCUGUAAUCCUCGCACUUUGGGAGACCAAGGUGGGAGGCUCACUUGAGCCUGGGAGGCCGAGGCUGUAGGAAGCCAUGAUCUCACCACUGCACUCCAGGCUGGUGAUAGAGCGAGACCCUGCCUCAAAACAAAAAAAUGAUAAAGAAUCUAAAGAAGUUCUGAGAUUCAUUUGGUCAUUCAACGGUGGGCUAGGUUUGGGGAUGCAGUGAUAAAUGAGACAGACACAAUCCCUGUCCCUCUGGACUUUGUGGUUGGUCUAGUUAGUCUUAAUCAUGCCACUUUCUGAAUAUAUGAGCAAACGCAAAUAAUUAAACAUCUCCGAACCCGUGUUUCAUUUGUUAAAAUGGGUCAGUAAUAAUCCC